UUAAGUGCUCAUUAAAAACAUAUAAUGAUGACUAGAUUUCGCUCCGUGCAGUAGAGUUCAGCUGAUCUAGUGGAUUUAGCCGUAACGUUACCGUUUAUAUGAAGCUACAUUAUUCUGUUCAGACUACAAUGAAAUCAAAGAGCAUGGACUACUGUUUCCUACACCUUCAAAAGACAAGAGAAACUUGGUACAGGAAGAGGUCAGGGGUGUUGUCUGGAUAAAUGUGCGUGACAGCACGGGAAAGAACAGAAUAAAUUUAUAUGAUGCGUUACA
rnacentral:lncRNA from 1 species